rnacentral:rRNA from 1 species
GACGAACGCUGGCGGCGUGCUUAACACAUGCAAGUCGAACGGAACGGCCCUGCUUUUGUGGGGUGCUCGAGUGGCGACCGGGUGAGUAACACGUGAGUAUCCUGCCCUUGACUUUGGGAUAACUUCAGGAAACUGGGGCUAAUACCGGAUAGGAGCUCCUGCUGCAUGGUGGGGGUUGGAAAGUUUAGGCGGUUGGGGAUGGACUCGCGGCUUGUCGGCUUGUUGGGGGGGUAGUGGCUUAACAAGGCCUUGACGGGUAGCCGGCCUGGGAAGGUGACCGGCGACACUGGGACUAGACUACUGCGCGGACUACUACGGGAGGCAGUAGUGGAGAGGAUGGCACAAUGGGCCGGCGCCUGAGCGAGCAACGCCGCGUGCGUGAUGACGGACUUCUGUGUAUAAACCGCAUUCGCUCGUGACGAUGCGUAAGUGACGGUAACUGAUAAAUAAGCACCGGCUAACUACGUG